ACGCUCAGUAACACGUAGUCAACAUGCCCAGGGGACGUGGAUAACCUCGGGAAACUGAGGAUAAACCGCGAUAAGUCAUUACUUCUGGAAUGGGUAAUGAUUAAAAUCUACAUGGCCCCUGGAUUGGACUGCGGCCGAUCAGGCUGUUGGUGAGGUAAUGGCCCACCAAACCUGUAACCGGUACGGGCUCUGAGAGGGGGAGCCCGGAGAUGGGCACUGAGACAAGGGCCCAGGCCCUAUGGGGCGCAGCAGGCGCGAAACCUCUGCAAUAGGCGAAAGCCUGACAGGGUUACUCUGAGUGAUUUCCGUUAAGGAGAUCUUUUGGCACCUCUAGAAAUGGUGCAGAAUAAGGGGUGGGCAAGUCUGGUGUCAGCCGCCGCGGUAAUACCAGCACCCCGAGUGGUCGGGACGUUUAUUGGGCCUAAAGCAUCCGUAGCCGGUUCUACAAGUCUUCCGUUAAAUCCACCUGCUUAACAGAUGGGCUGCGGAAGAUACUAUAGAGCUAGGAGGCGGGAGAGGCAAGCGGUACUCGAUGGGUAGGGGUAAAAUCCGUUGAUCCAUUGAAGACCACCAGUGGCGAAGGCGGCUUGCCAGAACGCGCUCGACGGUGAGGGAUGAAAGCUGGGGGAGCAAACCGGAUUAGAUACCCGGGUAGUCCCAGCUGUAAACGAUGCAGACUCGGUGAUGAGUUGGCUUCUUGCCAACUCAGUGCCGCAGGGAAGCCGUUAAGUUUGCCGCCUGGGGAGUACGGUCGCAAGACUGAAACUUAAAGGAAUUGGCGGGGGAGCAC
rnacentral:rRNA from 1 species